UUAGAAUUAAAAUUAAUUUGAUUAUUUUUAUUCAAUUAAUUAGAUAAAAUCUUAUUGUAAAUGACAAGCAACUUAUGAUCUCAUCACCUAACCCGUGUGGCUGAGAUGAACCAUGAUGAUCCUAGUAUUUGGAGUAACAACUUGUAGCCUAAACUUUUAUCCCUUUCGAGGUGACUCAAAUUCUUCAUAUCCCACUCCUUACAUCAACCCAGAGAGACUAAAAGAUUUUGGGUCCUACUAAACAGAGCAUUUAUACUAUUCAAAAUACUUACCAGUAUAUCAAAUCUUGAAAAGAAGUGGUCUUAACUCGAGUUUCUUCCAAUUCUAUGGACAUGCUGACUUGGAAUAAACUGUGGCGUCUUAUUUUUGUUCUGAAACAUGUUAGGACGAAUGCCUUCAUUAAGCUUGUUUUAAACUCGUUUACAUCUAUGUGGAUCUAAGAAUACCUUUUUAUAUUUUCUUUAACUCCUAAUACUUACUUCUAUUUUGAAUUCCAAAUAUUAAAAUUAAAAUUUAUUUAUUACAUAUUAUAAAAAAAUAAUAUAAUAUUCAAUAAUUUAAAAAUUAUUUGUCAGACCCAUUGUUCCUCUGAUUAGUCUCUCUACAAACACAUCGAUCUCUCCAAGAUAUCUGCUUUGAAUGAGGCAACUCCUGGCAGUGUUAAAUCAGUUUUCAAAGCUUGGGAACACCGUUUGAAUUCUUCUGGGGAGCACUUGGAAAGCAAUGAGGGUGAUCCUGAGUUACUUGUAUUCAUUUAUUUCAAGUUUAUUUACUUCAGAUGUCAAGAUUAAGAGCAUAUCAAUAGUGUGGACCUGAUGGAACAAGUCCUUCCAAGAUGAGAGUGCUCAUGAAUCGAGAUGGCAUCGACUUUUCAGAUGCACAAAGCGUGCAAACCAUUCAGGAAUGGGAUUUGGCUGAAAAUAUGCAAGGAGUAUUGGAAUACCAGACAAGGGUCAUCAAACCAACUAAUUUCUUGGUGCACAACCUUUGCAAAUGUCAAUGAACGAAUUCUUUCUACAAGUUUUCCACCAGCAACCCCAAAGAAGUAAUUCUGAAGUGGUAAGACCACCAGAGUAAGCAAACCUAAACCCACAUAUAGAAGUGACCAGAGCCUAGCCUCUUUCCUUUGUUGUUCUGGAGGUUUAUAAAACAUAGUAAUGGCUGAUGAAAACACUAGGCCAAAUAUAGGGAACACUACUCCGUUCACUAUUGCAGCAAUGGAUCCAAGUAUUAAGACAGGAACCUCAGAUGAGGAAAGGAAAAUCUACGUGACAGGGAAUGUAUCCCUGAUGAUCUUUGGCUUAUGGAUUUCACAAAGGAAAUUCUCUGGUUGGAAGAUCUAGCCAUGUUACUAUUUAAAAUGUGACUUGACUUAUCUGCUUCGGAGUUUUGGUUGACUUUAGCUUCUUUUUCUCCUUCUUGUAGACGAAUAAGCUGAGAAUAAGCACCGCCUUCAUCCUUGAUUAACUCAUCAUGAGCUCCUAUGUAAAAAGGAAGCUUGCAAAACUUGUCCCUGAAUCGACAUUUUAGCCAUCAACAUAGACAUGAAUCCACCAACAAUGACAACACAAGGUAUACAUGCAAGCAAAACCACAGCUAGUCUCCAUCCUUUUACAAAGGCAAUCACAAAACCACCAAAAAAUGUUGCAGCAAGUUGAAUGAACUUCCCAACCUAUAUCAUUAUAAUAAAGGUUUCAUUUAUUAGCAAGAUCGUGAUAUACUAUAUAUUUAUAUGAAUUAAUCAAGGUGAGGAGCAGAUACCUUUUCUCCCAUGGCAUCUUGAAUGAGAAUUGUGUCACCAGACAUUCUCCCUAUUACUUCUCCUGUAGUUGUUUCAGUGUCAAAGAAUGCAAUAUCUUGCUUUAAUAUUGUUUUCAAGUACAAGCUACGAAUCCUUGCAGCUUGUCUUUCUCCUGUCACCAUCGAACAUGCUACCUCUGCAGGACUCAACAAAAUAACCCUUAUUAUGAGAAUGUUGCAUUUAUCAUGUUUCUAAAUUACAGCUGCAUUCGCAAUUGCAAUUACGCUGUUAACAUUGAUAUUGCAAUAGAUUGAUGUCGAUGCGGCCACAAUUGCAGUUGCAAUACUAUUGUGGUUUCAGGUUGCAAUUUAAAACCAUCAACUAAUAGUAAAAAAGCAAGAAAAGAGAGAGGGAAACUGUGUUCUUACGUAGGAAUGAAGCUAUUCCAGUCCCAAUAGCCAGUUAAAGGUGAAAAAAAAAAGACCUUAGCAACUUCCUUAACAAUGUGGUGUGGAUCUGAUGAGCCAAAGGUGUUGAUAAUCUUUCCAAGAAUGAGAGUCAUUAUAGGCUGUGUCAUUCCAUUAGCAAGAGCAGAAAUAGUUCCAAUGAUCAUCAACAUAACAUCAAGGCUAUCAGCAAAUGUGAAAAGCUUGUAAAAUGGAACCUUUUGGUUGGUUUUGAUAUCACUUCCAUGAUCAUCAAC